UAGGGAAUCUUCCACAAUGGGCGCAAGCCUGAUGGAGCAACACCGCGUGAGUGAAGAAGGGUUUCGGCUCGUAAAGCUCUGUUGUUAAAGAAGAACACGUAUGAGAGUAACUGUUCAUACGUUGACGGUAUUUAACCAGAAAGUCACGGCUAACUACGUGCCAGCAGCCGCGGUAAUACGUAGGUGGCAAGCGUUAUCCGGAUUUAUUGGGCGUAAAGAGAGUGCAGGCGGUUUUCUAAGUCUGAUGUGAAAGCCUUCGGCUUAACCGGAGAAGUGCAUCGGAAACUGGAUAACUUGAGUGCAGAAGAGGGUAGUGGAACUCCAUGUGUAGCGGUGAAAUGCGUAGAUAUAUGGAGGAACACCGGUGGCGAAAGCGGCUCUCUGGUCUGUAACUGACGCUGAGGCUCGAAAGCGUGGGGAGCGAACAGGAUUAGAUACCCUGGUAGUCCACGCCGUAAACGAUGAGUGCUAGGUGUUGGAUCCUUUCCGGGAUUCAGUGCCGCAGCUAACGCAUUAAGCACUCCGCCUGGGGAGUACGACCGCAAGGUUG
rnacentral:rRNA from 1 species